CCUACGGGGGGCAGCAGUGGGGAAUAUUGGACAAUGGGGGGAACCCUGAUCCAGCCAUGCCGCGUGUGUGAAGAAGGCCCUCGGGUUGUAAAGCACUUUCAGUGAGGAAGAACGCCUGGUGGUUAAUACCCAUCAGGAAAGACAUCACUCACAGAAGAAGCACCGGCUAACUCCGUGCCAGCAGCCGCGGUAAUACGGAGGGUGCGAGCGUUAAUCGGAAUUACUGGGCGUAAAGCGCGCGUAGGUGGCUUGAUAAGCCGGUUGUGAAAGCCCCGGGCUCAACCUGGGAACGGCAUCCGGAACUGUCAAGCUAGAGUGCAGGAGAGGAAGGUAGAAUUCCCGGUGUAGCGGUGAAAUGCGUAGAGAUCGGGAGGAAUACCAGUGGCGAAGGCGGCCUUCUGGACUGACACUGACACUGAGGUGCGGAAGCGUGGGUAGCAAACAGGAUUAGAUACCCUUGUAGUC
rnacentral:rRNA from 1 species